CGCCCCCAGUGGCUGUCUGGUAGACAGCCACUGAGAGCAGACUUAGAGCUGCAAUGUAAACAUUGCCCCCAUCCCACUAAGUGCAAAAGGGUCACAGCACCCAGACCACUUAAAUUAGCUGAAGUGGUUUGGGUGCCUACAGUAUCCCUUUAAGACUUCCCAGUUAUGCAGGUCUUCGGUUGUGAAACCUAGUCUCUUAGACCUAGUCUCCUUACUCGCUGUGUUACAUAUUUAUGUUCUGUAACACUAAUCUCGUAGUUGAGUGCUGGCUAAAAGAGCGGUGCCAGUUCUUCCCAUUUGC